CUUGGCGCUGCCGGCGAGUUCUCGGGGCUGUAAAUUACCUUCCGAGGCGGCGGCGCGGCUCCGCCCCCGGCCCCGCCGGUGGUUCAAGUGCAAGAUCGGAGCUGGGAGCGGAGAGGCAACACCCCUGCUCGCACUGCAACCUGCUCCCUUCGGGGAGGGAUCCUCCCCGCUCCAGCUUCUGCUCUCCGGGCUCCGCCAGGCUGGAGGGCAGCAGAGCCAGGAGGAACGGAGACCCAGCGCUGCCCGUUAACAGUCCCGGCAGGAGAGGCAUCGUAAUUACUCACCGCGCUAAUUGCCCGUCAUUAAAGUUCAGGAAACGGUCCGAAGAGGAGCUCCCGAGUCGACGAGGAGGCAGGUGGUGUCUGGGGCUCCCGGCCGGCCAGGGUUAAGCGCUUGCCUGCUCCCUGCCGCCCGGCUUGAGGCCAGCGCGUCUUCAGUGGGGAGGCCAGCCACUGCCAGGGACCCGGGAGCGACGCCGCCAGCCCGGCCGGACCCCCUCCCCCACCACGGCCUCUGGAAGGGGGCAGCAAGUGGGGGUUCCCGGGUACCAAGCCCCCUGCCCAGCCGGCGCCUGGGGGCGCAGAGAGCGAGAGGGGCUGCAGGGACACCGAGAUGGCCGAUGAGAUUGACUGGCUGGACCUGCCCGGCCGGUGGGCCUACGGAGUUGACGGCGGUGGGAGAAUCUUCUUCAUCAAUGAUGAGGAAAAGUCAACCAGCUGGGUGCACCCUGGAACAAAGUCACCCAUCCAGAGUGGACACACCUCCUGCCCAGCGCUUCACCGGACUGGACACCAG
rnacentral:lncRNA from 1 species